AUAUUGGACAAUGGGGGAAACCCUGAUCCAGCAAUGCCGCGUGAGUGAUGAAGGCCUUAGGGUUGUAAAGCUCUUUUACCCGGGAUGANAAUGACAGUACCGGGAGAAUAAGCUCCGGCUAACUCCGUGCCAGCAGCCGCGGUAAUACGGAGGGAGCUAGCGUUGUUCGGAAUUACUGGGCGUAAAGCGCACGUAGGCGGCUAUUCAAGUCAGAGGUGAAAGCCCGGGGCUCAACCCCGGAACUGCCUUUGAAACUAGAUAGCUUGAAUCCAGGAGAGGUGAGUGGAAUUCCGAGUGUAGAGGUGAAAUUCGUAGAUAUUCGGAAGAACACCAGUGGCGAAGGCGGCUCACUGGACUGGUAUUGACGCUGAGGUGCGAAAGCGUGGGGAGCAAACAGG
rnacentral:rRNA from 1 species